UCACCAGAGGGGACUGAAUAUAAGUAAAACAGAAACAUGAUUGAUCUAAUCAAAGAAAAGGAACACAGAAAUAAUAAAACCCAAAACCAACUCAAACAACUCAAGGUCUUGACAGAUGUAUGAAUUAUUAUCAGUUAAACGUUAUUUAAUAAUUCUGCACUGUCCCACCUACAGCAGGCAUCUGAACAGGAUUCACACUCUGUGGGAAGUUAGCAGGAGGAGGAGGAGAUUUGGGCAUGUUGCAUAAAAGGACUGCACAAGAGAAGGUUACAGCGCCAACAACUGACGUCUCACAUCUGUCAUAGGAGGGCAGUAGACUCUACCUGAGUUCCCGUCCCAGCCUGGGAUCAUUUUGCCUGAGGUUUACAUGUGGAUGUGUGGGUUCCCUCUGGGUACUCUGGCUUCCACAGUGUAUCAUAAUCUAAGCAAUAUUUUCUUCUUCUCUAAAAACUGUCCUUGAUUGUUUUGUAUUUCCUUUUCAGAAAUCUAAUUGCCAUGUUAUCCUAUAUGUUCAUAUUUGAUUGCUUCAUCCCAAACUCGCCAAACCAUCCCCACCACCUCCUGAUCCUGUGCAGAUGUUUAGAACAGAACAGAACAGUGAGAGGAAGUAAUGAUGCUGAUCUCCGAUCUGCAUGCUGGUUUGACUAAUAGUAGGAUUAUGUUUGAGUCUGCUAAAGCCAGAACUACCAGGAUUGAUUCUCUUGUUUUUCUUGGGUAUCUCCUGGGUUUCGUUAUGCGAGUGGCGUUAACGGACAUGCAAAUGUAAACACCGUCCAGGGAGACAAUGUGGAGGAGGACAGAUGUGUUUCUAGGAAGAAAAAAAACACCUCAUCCUCGGAGUGCUCAAAUCAUUUCCGUACAUCAAAACCAAAGUGACAAGAACAGCUCCAAUUUAUUGACGUGGAAGAUUUUUUACUCAUGAAUAAACCUGGUGAUUUGCAAGGUGCCGAACGUUAAUCUGCUUUGCAUACAUAAAUUGUUAAGCAGCAUCCGUUACUUAUGGGAAUCUUGAAAUUCAAGUCAGGAAAUCAGCAAAUUGCCCACU